GGAAACCCUGACGCAGCAACGCCGCGUGUGGGAAGAAGGCCUUCGGGUCGUAAACCACUUUUGCACGGGACGAAAAAGGGAUAUCGAACAAAUAUCCCCGAUGACGGUACCGUGAGAAUAAGCCACGGCUAACUCUGUGCCAGCAGCCGCGGUAAGACAGAGGUGGCAAGCGUUGUUCGGAAUUACUGGGCGUAAAGNGUCUGUAGGUGGUUUGUCAAGUCUUUUGGUGAAAGGCCGUAGCUUAACUAUGGGAAUGCCAAAGAGACUGGCAGGCUGGAGCUGGGAGAGGGAAGCGGAAUUUCUGGUGUAGCGGUGAAAUGCGUAGAUAUCAGAAGGAAGGCCGGUGGCGAAGGCGGCUUCCUGGAACAGUCCUGACACUGAGAGACGAAAGCGUGGGGAGCAAACAGGAGUUAAGAUACCCUGGUAGU
rnacentral:rRNA from 1 species